UAGAGUAGUUAAAGUCGUACCAGGUUUCCGUAGGUGAACCUGCGGAAGAAUCAUUA
rnacentral:rRNA from 1 species